rnacentral:misc_RNA from 1 species
CUGGCUGCGCGCCUCCCCGACCCCAUCAUUGGCGGCUCCAGCUCCCACGACGGCGACAUUCCGCCGCUCAUGUCUCGGCCCCCCUCACUGGCGACCCCGGCCCCAGCAACACACAGAGAGCAAAAAGGAUGGGUCUUCGACACACCGUCGGAUCCCUUGGGCACCGCCUACCUUUGUCGCCACCAUUCCCGUCCUUAUCCCUUCGCCUACUCAAGCGAGCAAUGGAGCGCCAGGGGUUCAUCAGCAGCAGAAGAGGCUGCUCUCAGUGCUUGUAGCGCCCAAGGUUGCAGAAACCAGCAAUGUUGUGUCCCUCAAGCUGAUGGGUGGUGCCCUUAUUGGGAGACGCAUGAAUCGAGUGCGGCAGCAGUUGACUCCACGGACCCGCCAGCUGAGAAGCAUGAGUACCAGGUUGAGGUCAACAGGCUCAUGGUUUUGAUCGUACACAACCUGUAUAGUAACAAGGAAGUUUUCCUUCGAGAACUGGUCAGGUAUGACUCUGGUGAAACCGUGAGGUCGGCAAAGUUUAUUUCAAGGAAACAAUGGGUUGUAGCUGGUGCAGACGACAUGUUCAUUCGUGUCUACAACUACAAUACCAUGGACAAAGUUACUUUCAAUCCAAAGGAUAUUAACACCUUUGCAAGUGCAUCCCUUGACCGCACUACAAAGAUAUGGAGUUUGGGUUCUCCAGAUCCAAACUUCACACUUGAUGGGCAUCAAAAGGGUGUCAACUGUGUUGACUACUUCACUGGUGGUGACAGACCCUAUUUGAUUACUGGUUCUGAUGACUCCACCGCAAAGACGAAGAGAUGUGUUCAGACACUUGAAGGGCAUACACAUAAUAUUUCUGUUGUUUGUUUCCAUCCUGAGCUCCCUAUAAUCAUUACUGGAUCUGAAGAUGGUACAGUUCGUAUAUGGCAUUCGACAACUUACAGACUUGAGAACACACUAAACUAUGGCCUUGAGAGAGUCUGGGCUGUUGGAUACAUGAAGGGGUCUAGAAGGUAAGAUCAUUUGCAUUCUGUUUUUGUUUCAGUAGUGCUGUUACUUGUAAUGGACACUAGCUAUUA